rnacentral:rRNA from 1 species
GACGAACGCUGGCGGCGUGCUUAACACAUGCAAGUCGAACGGAAAGGCCCUGCUUUUGUGGGGUGCUCGAGUGGCGAACGGGUGAGUAACACGUGAGUAACCUGCCCUUGACUUUGGGAUAACUUCAGGAAACUGGGGCUAAUACCGGAUAGGAGCUCCUGCUGCAUGGUGGGGGUUGGAAAGUUUCGGCGGUUGGGGAUGGACUCGCGGCUUAUCAGCUUGUUGGUGGGGUAGUGGCUUACCAAGGCUUUGACGGGUAGCCGGCCUGAGAGGGUGACCGGACACAUUGGGACUGAGAUACGGCCCAGACUCCUACGGGAGGCAGCAGUGGGGAAUAUUGCACAAUGGGCGGAAGCCUGACGCAGCAACGCCGCGUGCGGGAGGACGGCCUUCGGGUUGUAAACCGCUUUCGCCUGUGACGAAGCGUGAGUGACGGUAAUGGGUAAAGAAGCACCGGCUAACUACGUG